UCUGUCAGUAAAAGUGAAAGAAGAAAGUGUCUGAAAUCCCAGCUACUCCGGAGGCUGAGGCAGAAGAAUCGCUUGAAUCCGGGAGGCGAAUGUUGCAAUGAGCCGAGAUCGUGCCACUGCACUCCAGCCUGGGCGACAGAGCAAGACUCUGUCUCAAAAAAGGAAACAAACAAAAAAAAGAAAGUGAAUUGGCCACCUUUUCAGAGCAACCCCGUGGGCCAGGGCUUUUUCCUUCCAUCGCAAGGGAAAUGGUGAACUUGGCGGGUGGGGUUGGAGGCAGUGGUCCAGAUAUGUGAUGAAUGCCUCGAAAAGAAGUGAACAUUGCCUCAUUUCUUCCUUCUGGAGUGCUGUCCGUAAGAGUUUCCGAGGCCAUUGGUAGCUGCAGAACCCCUUUUGAAAUAAAAUCUUAUACAAGCCCCAGUAUACAAAGGCAGGUAAAAAGGGAGCUAGAUUGGUUUGGGGGACUUUGAGAAAUCUUAGCUGAUGGAUUUUACAAUGUUGUUAAAAUGCCCAGUGAAGAGAGAAAGGCAUGUGAAUUCAUCUUCCAAAGCCCAUGGUGAAAUGUGAGACAAAAUAUCCACUCUAAAAAAUUAGCAAUCAGGCUGGGUGCAGCAUUUCUGUUGGAAGACAUUUCUGGAGGCCAAGGUGGGGUGAUCACUUGAAGUCAGGAGUUCAAGCCCAGCCCAGCCAACAUGGUGAAACCCUGUCUCUACUACAAAUACAAAAAUUAGCUGAGCACAGUGGUGCAUGCCUGUAGUCCCAGCUACUCAGGAGGCUGAGGCAGGAGAAUGGCUUGGACCCAUGAGGUGGAGGUUGCAGUGAGUGGAGAUUGUGCCACUGCACUCCAGCCGGGGUGACAGAGCAAGACGUCUCAAAAAAAAAAAAAAAAUUAGCAGUCAGAUGGCACUGACUUCUUUUAUUGAUUUUCCAGAAUGCUCUCUUCAAAGCCUACACGUUUUCAUCUUUGGGUUCAGUUUUCUUGAGGGCAAAACUAGUGCCUAAUUAAGUCUUAUUUUUGUGUCUGAUUAUCUUUAACACCCUUGAAAAGUGUUUGCCAGUUUUCUAGAAAAAAAUUGAUGACUUGCUCCUCCGCUGGUUCUGCUGACUUGCUGUUUUGGAAGAGAUGUUUUUCUUGUUUUUCUUUUCAUUGGUGUCAAGGGAGAUGGAAACAGUGAGGGCUUUAACCUCUUCUCCUCUUUGCCAGGCUAGGAAGACCCAGUUGAGACAGCGGACACUAGAGCAGCCUGGAAGGGAACACCUGCCUACGAAGCCCCUAGGAGCAUGAGGUGUUUCCUCCCACAGCUUCCUGUCCUGCCCAGGGCUAAGAGGACAAGACUGGCAGAAGGACAACCAGCAAUGCUGAGGGACUGUGGCUCAAGGCACUGAUGUCAUUGCCUUGGGUUGCAGGUAAGUGAAACCUACCUCAAAUGAGCUUCAGCCACAAUGGACCUUUAUUGGAAAGCCGUCUUAGAGAGACCCAGGGAUACAGGCCUGAUUGCCCCCUGUCUCAUUUCUCUGUUCUUCUCAUUCUCCCACUCUACAGACAGACUCACUGCUUUGUCCUACGUGAGGACAAACCCAGCUGCUUCAUAGCCUCUGGGUUUAUGUAUCUGCUCAAGCUAACCAGCCCAAUCUGAGACCAAUGCAUUAGUCACAAUUCCAAGCUCCAAGGAGAAUGAAUCUGAUUGCCUUCAUCAGGUUACCUACUGUGGGGAGGUCAUUGUCAUGUAAUAGAAAGGCAGCUCCCAGGAGAUUAUUGAGGGCUGAAAAUAUACCCCUAAAGGUAUCUAUUAUCAGAUUGAGCAUGUCCCUCCAAAAUUCUGUGCCUUUGUACAGUAGCUCCCUCUGUUGUGACAGCAGUGUGGCUGUGAUGAUGGGAGUGGCUCAGACAACAAGAAAAGGUUUUAAGUAUUUCCCAAGCCACCAGCAUUAGACAGUUGGUUCAGCUCACCAGUUGAAAUAUCUGGUAUGUGUCAGAUACCCUCCGAGGCUCUGAAGAGAUUGGUGUAACCCAGAUACAUUUUGGGGCCCCAUGUGGCUUAGUUUAGGUAUGGAGACACAUUUAAAAACACACAGUCCCAAAAUAAUUAAACUUAAUUAAAACUAAAUUAUAAUUUUUCUUUUGCAUAGUUUUUCUUUUUUUGAAGGAGUCUAACUCUGUCACCUAGGCUGGAGUGCAGUGGAGCAAUUGCGGCUCACUGCAGCCUCAACUUCCUGGGCUCAAGCAAUCCUCCCACCUCAGCCUCAUGAGUAGCUUGGACUACAGUGCCCGAGGGGCAAAACUGCAGCAGAGUGGCUCCUGUAUCCUCAGCACUCAACAUGGACCCCGUUGUUGGUGUUCAAGAAACAUUUGAGGAGCUGCACUUACUUGGAAUGAGAAAAAGUUACACCCAUGACCUCCAGUCUGUCCCUUCAGGAGAUAAAGCGAGUCUGUGACAUGGCCACAGAUGCCUGCAGUCCCAGCCCCCUGGCCAGAAGCAUUUCUGUAGGUUACAGCUGAGAGCCUUCAGCCAGGUCAGUAUGAAAUGAAAAUGAAAAGCUCAUAUUUUGUUGUUUUUUUUUUUUUGAGGAGGGAGAGGGUAUAUUAACGGCAUUCUUCAGUAAUGAUAAGAAUAUGUUUCUUUUCUUUUUUUUAAGACAGGGUCUCUCUCUCUGUCACCCAGGCUGGACUGCACUGGCAUGAUCUUGGCUCACUGCAACCUCUGCUCCCCAGGCUCAAGUGAUCCUCCUACCUCAGCCUCCCAAAGUGCUGG
rnacentral:lncRNA from 1 species